AUGAAGUGGAAAGGAGGCUGCAGACCCCACUUCAACCCUUACCUGAGGGCAGUUGUGCCAGGCUGCCCAGCAGGGCCAGCAUGGAAUCCGACGCAGAGUAGCCGCACAUGGCUCCCCUCACAAGGGACCUGGGCUUGUCUGGGAAGGCCUGUGACACUGCCCAAGCCACUGUACCUGGUCCAGGUCCUACACCGGACUCUGGUCCUAGAGGAGGAGCUAACAGAGGCCGAGCCUGAGGCUUCAUGGUCGCCUCAGCAGCUCGUGGUGGCUGCAGCCACAGAUCCUCUACAAUCUGAAGAUCUCGAUCCAGCCGCAGAAGCAGCAGCAGAAGCAACGCCAGCUCGGGAUCUACAGGCAUUUCCAUCAGUCCGCGUCAUGCUUCCUGCAGCAGCAGCUCCGCCUCUAGUGCCCGCCUCCUGCAGGGGCUCCAGAAAGCAAGCUAGAGCCAGGGCAGGAUCCACCACCUGGGGACCUGGAGCCAGCUCUGCACCUCCUUUUGCAGAAGAGAUGGAGCCAGCUUGGGACCCAGCAGCCCUCAGGGAGCGCCAGCCCUGGAGCUACCCUCACUGCCAGCUCCCAAUGCACGGUUUCAGCCCGAUGCCCCACUCAACACUCUGUGGAGUGUUCCUCUCCCCUAUUGUGGCUUUGUUUGCUUUUGUGUUUGUUUUUACUUUGUCUCUUUUUGUUUUUGUUUUUUCACAUUCUUUCUGCUGUUCUCUACUUUGGAUUUUAAAUAGAUUUAGUUAUUUUCAAUUGAGCAACUCAUGAGCAUUAAGUACAUUUCCAACGCUAAGACACAAUGUCACAGAACUUAGGUGCGGAAAGGACAUCCCGAACCAGAAGCCCUCAUCGCUCCCCAAAGGACCACCUGAACCAGAAGCCCUCCCUGCCCAUUUCUACCCAAACCAGCCCCUGGAACCCCUAAGCUGCUUUCUCUCUCUGUUCACCUGUUCUGGAUGUUUCCUACAAGUACAUUCACCUAACAGGUACCUUUGUGUCUCUGCCCAUGUAUUUUCAAAGGGACCCUUAUGUGUGUGUUUAUUUGACCAGGUUUCCCCUUAUUCAAUAUUGAAAUCUGAUCCCAGAACUGGCAGGAGAGCUGAGACUGUCGCUGCCCCAAUUUCUGGAGCUGGUGCAGGCAUCAGCGUUGGACCUGGCUCUAGCUCCGGGGCAGGUGUUAGAGCUGUGAGAAUGCUGAGUCCACCUCCAUGGAAGAUCUAGAGCUGGUUCUGCAUUUGGAUAUGGUUCUAGAGCUGACGCUACCUCUGGUGCUGAAGCUAGAGCUACCGCUGUGGCUCUGGCUCUGGAGCUGACACUGAAGCUGGCUCCGACUUCCGAGUGGGUGCUGGAGGGGCUUUAGCUGUGGAUCUUGUACUGAAGCUGGCCGCUGCUCUGGGGCUAGUGAUAUAGCUGGCACUAGAGUUACAGACGGCUCUAAUCAUGGAAGUGGUGCACGAGCUGCACCAGUGUGAGAGCUAGUGUUAGAGCUGACUCUGGCUUUGCAUGCUAGAUCUGGUGCUUGUGGCUCUAGUGUAUAGCCAGUCCUAGGUCUAGCUCUGUAGCCAGUGGUAAAAUGGGUGGUAGAGCUGGUUGUAGCUCUUUGCAGGCUCCACCGAUGAGGUUGGCAUCAGGGCAGAGGCUAACACGAGAGCAGGGACAGGAUCUGGCCCAGGAGUUGGUGUAUAGCUCAUGCCAGAGCAUGAUCUAGCUUUGAGGUGGGUGCUGAAGCCGGUUCUUUUCUCUUGAGGGGACACUGGAUCUAAGUCUGCUACUGGUUGGUGUCCGUGCAGGCUUUCACUCUGGAGCUGGUGCAGGAGUUGGCACUUGUGAGAACUCCAGCUCCGGACCUGGUACAAGAACAGUUGCUGGUGUAGCCUCUAGCUCUGAUCUUGGUGCUGACUCUAGUUCUGGAGCCAAUGCUAGAACAGGUGCUGGAGCGAGCUCUUCCUUGGAAACUGGCACUGCCUCUGAAUGCGUUUCAGGCUGAUUCUCACUCUCAAGUGGGCACUAGAACUAUCACUGGGCUGGCACUAGAGUUGGCAAAAAAGAAAAAAAAAAAAAGCUGCGUCUAACUCCGGAGUUGAUGCAAGUGUCAGAGCAGGAGUUAACCUUAGCUGUGGAGCUGGCCUGAACUCUGUUGCUACAGCUGAGAAUGGAACCGGCUAUAGCAGGGGAUCAGGUGCAGAAGCUGGUGGUAGCAUUGACUGAGUCUGGAGCUUUGGCUGGAGCUGGCUCGGGAGCUCCCUCAAGCUCUUGAGCUGGUGCUGAAGCUAGUUCUGGCGCUGGCACUAGCUCUAGAGAUGGCUCUAGCUCUACAGCUGCCUGUAGCUCCAGCUGUGUUGCCAGCGCUAAUACUGGAGCAGGCCCCAGUUCGUUUCUGUCAUCUGUUAAUCUGGAAUUUAUGUGGGGUCUGAUCCAAACUCUAGAGCUGGCUGGCACUGGAGCUGGCAAGGAUGUUGGCAGAGCUGCCUCUAUCUCUGCAGUUGUGUGACAAAGCUGGAGCUGGACCUGGUUCUAGCCCUGAAGCUGGCUGGAACUUGUUCUGGAGCUGGCUAGAGUUCUAGGGCUUUUACAGGAGCUUAGGUUAGAACACCAGCUCUGGAUUUGAUACCAUAUCUGGUGAUCAAGCUGGCUCCGUGUCUGCAACUGGCACUGGCUCUGAAUCUGGAAGUGGCACUGGAGCUGGUACUGGCUCCAGCUCUGGAACUGUCGCAUGCACUAGUGCUGGACUUGUCACCUGGCACCACAUCUAGCUGUUGGGCUGGUGCCAAAAAUGACUCUAACUCCAGAUUUGGUACGGGUGCUGGACAGGAGCUGGCAAUGAAAGUGGUGCUAGCUCUGGAGCUGGGGUGGAGCAGGCACCAGAGUUGGUACUGGUGCUGCAAGAGGACAGAGGUUUGUCAACAUGAUCCCCUUCCCACAUGCCUGUCCGGAAACAGACUACUUUCCAGUGCCUUGCAGAGAAGCCACAACCCAGGACCCACCCCAGGACCUCUUCCUCCCCUAUAGACUGUGUGUAUGCCUAUCAAAUAAAUUUCUUUUCUUCCCUUCCUUAUCUUCUCA
rnacentral:lncRNA from 12 species